rnacentral:rRNA from 1 species
UGCGGGACUCGAUCGAGGCUCCGCGACCGGAAUGAGUACACUUUAAACCCUUUGGCGAGGAUCUAUUGGAGGGCAAGUCUGGUGCCAGCAGCCGCGGUAAUUCCAGCUCCAAUAGCGUAUAUUAAAGUUGUUGCAGUUAAAAAGCUCGUAGUUGGAUCUCGGGCUUGCCGGCACGCGGUCUCGCGGGUCCCGCGGCUCAUGCCGCCCGCGGUGCACCGGUGCCGGCGCCCUACCGGCGGGGGGAGGCCUGAGCAGGGCCGUCCUGGUGGCUGCGUGCAAGCGCGCCACUGGUUGCCGCUGUCCUUCACCGGGCGGCCGGCGGCACCCGUCCAGUUUACUUUGAAAAAAUUAGAGUGUUCAAGGCAGGCUCAGACAGCCUGAAUAAUGGUGCAUGGAAUAAUGGAACAGGGCCUCGGUCCUAUUCUGUUGGUUCUCCGGGACUGGAGGCAAUGAUUAAGGAUUGACAGAUUGAGAGCUCUUUCUUGAUUCGGUGGGUGGUGGUGCAUGGCCGUUCUUAGUUGGUGGAGCGAUCUGUCUGGUUAAUUCCGAUAACGAACGAGACUCUGGCCCCUCAAUAGUCCUCCCCCCCCGCCAAUGGGAGGGGAGCCCGUCGUACUUCUCAGGGGGACAAGCGGUGUCACCAACCGCACGAGAGUGAGGAAUAACAGGUCUGUGAUGCCCUUAGAUGUCCGGGGCCGCACGCGCGCUACACUGACAGAGGCAAAGGGUACCGAUCAUCCUGGUCUGGCGA